rnacentral:lncRNA from 1 species
UAAUUGCAACUGCAUUUCUCACCAGGGCCCUACAUGUCCUAAGUGCCCUCCAUGCUCUCCACAGGUAUGAAAAUCUCAGUCUUCCUCCCACAGAGCUCACAGUUUAAAACCCAAGGUGGGAAGUCACUAAUUCCUGUGAUGGCUGCUCAGCCUUUGCCUCAGGAAUUCAUCAAAAAGAGAAUUUUCUCUAAGAGGGCCACAGGACACAGUGUGCACAGAAAAAGUCGGUAGAGGAAGGAAACCAGACAAAUACAGCAUUCUUGAAAAAAAAAAUAGAAAAAGAGUAUCUGUGUGUGUCCUUUCAGUUAGGAAGGUUUACAAAGUAGCUUCACAAUGAGAAACAGUGCUUGCUUCAGAGGUUUUACAGACCCAGCAAUCAGAAUGAAAUAGCAGGAAAGGGAAAGGCAGAAGCAGGAGACCUGUGCUUCCCUGCCUUACACGGAGCAACUAUGCUCAGUUUGCAGGUCCAAGGCAUUUUUAAGCCUAUAAAUAAACUGGGGACGUUAAUGAAGCCAUUAAUCUCGGCUGGCCGCCGUCCCAGCUAUUUUCAGUGGCGAGGUUACCUUGCCUCUCCCGGCAGAAGCAGGUCCCGAGGGGCUCGGGCGAGCAGCAGGGACGGAUGCCGUGUGCCCGGGGCCGCCGCCCUGGGCGGGAGGACACCGGACACUGCCACCGUCCUUGGCAGCACACCGGGAGGAGGUGUCCCGAGCGCCAGCCCUCCUGGCUCCCAGCCUGCAGGGAAACACGAAAACAGACGUCAGAUAAUAAACAACGAGAAAAAGCCGAAUGCUGCCGGCUGCAGAGGGAGGCUGGUGACUGCUCCUGCCUGCAGCCCUUAGGCAGAAAUGCCUUCUUCAUCUCCUACAAGGAGGUAGCCACGAUGGAGACCAUUUGCUCCUCUGGAGCUGCUGGGAGCCUGCUCCGCACCCCUGCCUUUCCAAGGACAGCAAGUGCAGAGCUCGGAGCUACAGGGUGGAGGGGGAGCCUGGGAGGGGCAGGCCAGGGCACCCCAGCACACGCGUCUAGGGCAGGAAUGGCUGGGGUGCAGGUCCCUGCGAGAACAAGGUCUGCCCUGAGACAGCUUCCUGCCCCUCACACCCGCAGUCACUGCUUCCCUCACAGGCAGAGGGGAAGAAGAGCUCCCUUUCUUUUCCACCCAGGAGGAGCAGGAAUGUCAUGCACUUGGAUGGUAAAAGCUGCUUUUUCUCCUUCCUGCUAUGAGGAGAGAAGCCCUGGUACAGCAUCUGCUCGGGAAAAGAGCAGCCCAGCAUUUGCCCUCAGUGCUCAGCUGGCACCCAGAGCUGGUUUGCCUGUGGGCAGUGUAGCCCUGAGGUUCAUCUUACAAAGGUACCUCUUACAAAUGCUUGCCUUACCUUACAAAGUAUACCAUGCUUUUGUUUAUUUGACUAUUUCUUUCACAAUAUGCCAGGAAGAAAUUUAUUCCUAGCAGUGAACGAGGUUCACACUCACUGAAAACUGGUGCCUUUGAAAACCACAUCUACAUAUUGUUUUCCUUUGACCUGCCCCCUCAGGUAUCCAAGGUGGUCAGAUACCACCACAGGGGGUUAGAGAAAUUAAUAUUCCUGUACCACCAGAAAACAUUGGCUAACUUUUUCUUUCCUAUUCUGCAAUUACCUCAAGAUGUUGAGACAUUUGCCAAUAAUAUUAUAAAAUAAUUGUUCACACACUGGUCCCACGUGAACAUUUGGCUACUGUAGCUAUUAGGACUUAUACUCCCAAAGCAUUCACUGGCACAGGACCUUUUCCCCAGUUUUCUCAGAAAAUACACACUGUUUUCUGUUCUUUGUGUUGCUUAGUAAUGUUUCCUGAAUUCUUAAUAUCUAUAGUGGUCUGACUGCCAGUUGCUCAUAAUGUACCAUCUAGAAAGAUUUAAGAAAUUUCUCUUAAAUGUUUUUUGUACCUUCUUACAAUGAUAUUUUGGGGCCAGAGGCAGCAAUUUCUCUGUGGAAUACCCAGUUCACUUGACAUGGCUUGCAGCUCACAAAUAGCACAACCUAUUCACUCUCAGGAACAGCUAAGAAAUGCAUUUCAUUUACUUGAGUUUUGCUAUUGCUGUGUCUCAGCUAUAUCCAAUGGACAAUCUGAAGGUGCUACUUAUGCUACAGCUUCCCUGCUGCCGUUCUGUCUGGCAUCUUUUAGGGAUCAUGCAGGAUAUGACUGCUUAAAGGUCCCUGGAGGCCUGGGUUCAUGGCAAAAUUUAGUUCUGCCUACAGCCACUUUGGCAAGCACCUGGAUCCUGCACUGUGCACUGGCUCUGUGAAGUGGGGCUAUGGACUCCCAUGUCAGUGGCCAUCUGAGACACCUACCCCAGUGACAACUGAUAGGAAAUUUCUUUCCUACUUUAAUGAGUCUACGCAGUGUUAAGCCAUGUUUAGCAAAGCUGUCACAAAGGCUCCUGACUGAUCCCUACUGCCUGUAACUGGCACUUUGGGGAGCCCAUCAGCCCCAUUGCCCUCUUGAGAUGCUGCUCUUCCAAAUCUGCUGAUGAAGGGCAGCAGGGAGCAGGCACUGCAGGGAUUCUUUGGCUCCACAGGGGUGUCUGUUUGUCACACCCCCAGCAGCUUUGGCAGACUUGGUGCAGUUGUUAUUAACUCCUAACCUCUACUUCUGGACUUUUCUGGGUAGUUGCUAAGAUGAGAAUUCUCUUUAUCAAUGGAAUUUCAUCAGUUGGGUUUGCUUGCUAUCCACAUCAAAUUCAGAGAUACAGCCAUCUAAAUCUUAUUGGUAUAAACUGCAGCAACAUCACUCUC